AACGAACGCUGGCGGCAUGCCUAACACAUGCAAGUCGAACGAGACCUUCGGGUCUAGUGGCGCACGGGUGCGUAACGCGUGGGAACCUGCCCUUAGGUUCGGAAUAACUCCCCGAAAGGGGUGCUAAUACCGGAUAAUGUCUUCGGACCAAAGAUUUAUCGCCUUUGGAUGGGCCCGCGUUGGAUUAGCUAGUUGGUAGGGUAAAAGCCUACCAAGGCGACGAUCCAUAGCUGGUCUGAGAGGAUGAUCAGCCACACUGGGACUGAGACACGGCCCAGACUCCUACGGGAGGCAGCAGUGGGGAAUAUUGGACAAUGGGCGAAAGCCUGAUCCAGCGAGGCCGCGUGAGUGAUGAAGGCCUUAGGGUUGUAAAGCGCUUUUACCCGGGAUGAUAAUGACGGUACCGGGAGAAUAAGCUCCGGCUAACUCCGUG
rnacentral:rRNA from 1 species